GCCGAAAUAGCUCAGCUGGGAGAGCGUUAGACUGAAGAUCUAAAGGUCCCCAGUUCGAUCCUGGGUUUCGCAAGAGUCAAGCG